GUGCUUGCUUUGGCAACACAUAUACUAAAAUUGGAAUGAUACAGAGAAGAUUAGCAUGGCCCCUGCACAACGAUGACAUGCAAAUUCGUGAAGUGUUCCAUAUUGUU
rnacentral:snRNA from 1 species